rnacentral:rRNA from 1 species
GAUGAACGCUGGCGGCAUGCCUAACACAUGCAAGUCGAGCGGAUGGACGGAGCUUUUUCCUGGAUUCCGCGGGGGGCGGGGGUGUGAUGCACAGGAGUCUGCCUGCCAUUAGGGGAUGACGUCCGGAAGCGGCCGCUGAUACCACAUACGACCAGAUCCUGAAACUGGGGGGUCGUUGGACAUCACGGGCUCAGGUGAGCCUAGGUCGGGUUAGCUAGCUGGUUGGGUAAGGGGCUACCAAGGCGACGAUCCGCAACCGGACUGAGAGGAGGAUAAGCCACCCGGGAACGGAGACACGGUCCAUACUCCUACGGGAGGCAGCAGUGGGGAAUAUUGGGCAAUGGGCGAAAGCCUGAUCCAGCCAUGCCGCGUGUGUGAAGAAGGUCUUCGGAUCGUAAAGCACUGUUAGUUGGGAGGAACGGCUGUAGGUUAAUACGUUGCUGUUUUGACGGUACCAACUGAAGAAGCACCGGCUAACUACGUG